UUAAUAGUUUUCUAGGGUUCCGCGGACGAUUGUUACGGACUGGACCGAGAGAAGACGCACAGCAUGCUGUGUUCACGGAGGGAUAAAAGCCCGGGAGAU
rnacentral:sRNA from 2 species